UACGGAGGGUGCGAGCGUUGUCCGGAAUCAUUGGGCGUAAAGGGCGCGUAGGUGGCGGGACAAGCGUGCGGUGAAAUCCUGGGGCUCAACCCCGGGCGUGCGGUGGAUACUGCCGGGCUAGAGGGUGGUAGAGGCGAGUGGAAUUCCCGGUGUAGCGGUGAAAUGCGCGGAUAUCGGGAGGAACACCAGUAGCGAAGGCGGCUCGCUGGGCCAUUCCUGACGCUGAGACGCGAAAGCUAGGGGAGCGAACAGG
rnacentral:rRNA from 1 species